ensembl:lncRNA
CCAAACCAGGGGUGCCCCGAGGGUGUCUUUCUUGUGCCUGUCCCAGCAGUGGGUUUUGGAACCACAUAACCUGUGUUUCACAGGGUCACAGCCGGCAUAGAGGACGCCAGCUUCAGGAUGAAGCUUCGGGACUAGUGGUACCCCGAGUCUCACCCAUGUCUGAUUUAGAUGACAACACUUUGGACUUCAGAGCUGAUACUGGAAGGACUGGGCGGUGUCUCCAUUGAAACACAUGUCAUAUGGAGAGUGUGAAACAGGAACCCAAGGACUGGCUUGGGAAGCUGGUGGUCACUGAGCAAGCCCUGGCCACCCUGGGCUGGUGGCACAAAGAUGCAGGACUAGACAUAUGGGGCUCACUGACACCUGCUGAAUGGGUGAACCAAAGACGACGUGCAGCUGCCGAAUUCUGGAGCCGCAGCAAGCUGGAAGGAGCUCAGCCGUUCAGACUUACAGGGGGAAACUAUUGUCCUGGAGCCUAAGGUCUGUUGGCGCAAGAGGAAUCAUUAAGGAACUAAACAGACACUCUGAGAUGCAAUGAAAAAGAUCGAUUGAAAAAAAUACCUUUCUUAAUAGGAGGAUUCAUUGUAACUGAUAGCUGAACUCUCUUAAACGCUCUC